UGCCACAGUGUGCGCUACUCAGUGAGGUUGCCCUGUGCAGUGGGCUGAUCCAUGACAACGGUGGCUAAAAAAACAUCAGGUUUUGCUUUCACCUAAGCACCAUUGGUUGCUGAAUGAUGACAAUGAGACCUGGCACAUUA
rnacentral:snoRNA from 1 species